rnacentral:rRNA from 1 species
UACGGAGGGUGCGAGCGUUGUUCGGAAUCACUGGGCGUAAAGCGCGUGUAGGCGGCCCACUAAGUCUGAUGUGAAAGCCCGGGGCUCACCCCCGGAAGUGCAUUGGAAACUGGUGGACUCGAGUCCCGGAGAGGAGAGUGGAAUUCCUGGUGUAGCGGUGGAAUGCGCAGAUAUCAGGAGGAACACCAAUAGCGAAGGCAGCUCGCUGGGACGGUACUGACGCUAAGGCGCGAAAGCGUGGGGAGCGAACAGG